rnacentral:rRNA from 1 species
AGAGCGAACGCUGGCGGCAGGCCUAACACAUGCAAGUCGAGCGGCCGUAGCAAUACGGCAGCGGCAGACGGGAGAGUAACACGUGGGAACGCGCCCUUCGGUUCGGAAUAACUCAGGGAAACUUGGGCUAAUACCGGAUACGCCCUUACGGGGAAAGAUUUAUUGCCGAAGGAACGGCCCGCGUCCGAUUAGCUUGUUGGUGAGGUAACGGCUCACCAAGGCGACGAUCGGUAGCUGGUCUGAGAGGAUGACCAGCCUCACUGGGACUGAGACACGGCCCAGACUCCUACGGGAGGCAGCAGUGGGGAAUAUUGGACAAUGGGCGCAAGCCUGAUCCAGCCAUGCCGCGUGGGUGAUGAAGGCCCUAGGGUUGUAAAGGCCCUUUCGGGCGGGGAAGAUAAUGACGGUACCCGCAGAAGAAGCCCCGGCUAACUUCGUGCCAGCAGCCGC